rnacentral:snoRNA from 2 species
CUGCAGCUCAUUAAGCCGACCGGUCUCGCUGUGGUGCGGUUCUGGUGUGCAAAGGCUGCAGACACUGACUCUUUGGUUGUGUAUGUCCUCAGCUGGGAGGUGCUGAGUGCUUUAAGGGACCACUGAGACAAAA